GCCCAGUUCCAGAAAUUCCUUGGGCAAGUCCAUAACGCACAUUCACCGUCAGGCAUGAAGGAAUAGCUUAUCCAGCAGAAAUAUCGGAGGCCAGGCCCCAGUACAAACUCCUUCAGACUUCUCAGUACUCAAGACAUCUCAAGUUUUUGAAGAGUAAAGUAUAAAAUACUGGCAGGGGUGGGUAGGGGGAACAGGAUAAAUUGGUGAUGGCCCAGAAAAAAUAUCCAGGGGGAUCGCAUUUUUCUUCUCCAAAGCAAAACAGAAUUCAUAACUGAAAGAGGAAUAGAGAAAGAGGAAAAAAGUGAUCUGGGACCUGUUGUUUUUCUUGCAUCCCAUUUCUACUCUGCCUGUGAGUGAAGACUGUUGUGGAAAAGUCAACUGGAGAGACCAGGUCAAAGGCCAAGCAGAAGAGGAAUUAGGCUUAAGACUGCACUGAGAGGGAACACUAGACCAUGGUGGCAAAAUGGCCGAAUAGGAGCAGCUCCAGUCUACAGCUCCCAGGGAGAUUAAUGCAAAAGAGAUGGAGUCUCGACACGUUGCCCAAGCUGUUCUCAAACUCCAGGGCUUGAACAAUCUUCCCACCUUGGCCUCCCAAGGCACUGGAAUUACAGAGACAGUGCUCUGCAGGGAGUCUACCACUGUGAUGGUUAAUACUGAGUGUCAACUUGAUUGGAUUGAAGGAUGCAAAGUAUUGUUCCUGGGUGUGUCUGUGAGGGUGUUGCCAAAGGAGAUUAACAUUUGAGUCAGUGGGCUGGGAAAGGUAGACCCAGCCGUAAUCUAGGUGGGCACCAUCUAAUCAGCUGCCAGCACAGCUAGAAGAUAAAGUAGGCAGAAAAACAUGAAAACAUUAGACUGGCCUAGCCUCUGAGCCUACAUCUUUCUCCCAUGCUGGAUGCUCCCUGCCCUUGAACAUCAGACUCCAAGUUUUUCAGUUUUGGGACUGGGACUCACUAUCCUUGCUCCUCAGCUUGCAGACAGCCUAUUGUGGGACCUUAUGAUCAUGCAUUCUGCUGGACCAACAAACAACAGUGUAUUUUUUCAUCCCCCUGCUGUUUGACAAUAAGAUUUUCUUAGCCUUGUAACAAUUAACAACUCAAAAAUAUACAUCUUUGUAUAUGUCUCCUUGAACAAGAGUUUCUCCCUGAGAAGCUCCCAGAAGAAGAACUGUUGGGCUAUGGAGAAUAUGCAUUGUCAACCUUACUUGGUAGUUCCAACAUAGCUUUCCAAAGUGUUUAUACUUAUUUUCCGUCCCUGCAACCACGCCUUGGAGUUCUUGUUUUGUUUGCAUUAUCACCAACAGUGAAUAUUAUCAAACUUAAUAAAUUUGUAAAUAUAAAAUGUUUUGUCCUUGUUUUAAUUUACAUUUCCUAAGUACUAAAGAAGUUGGACAUCUUUACAUAUAUUUAUUGGCCAUUGUAUUAGUUCAUUUUCACACUGCUAAUAAAGACACACCUGAGCCUGAGUAAUUUAUAAAGAAAAAGAAAUUUAAUGGACUCAUAGUUCCACAUGGCUGGGGAGGUCUCACAAUCAUGGCAGAAGGUGAAUGAGGAGAAAGACAUGUCUUACAUGGCAGCAGACAAGAGAGAGCAUGUGAGGGGAACUGCUGUUUAUAAAAUCAUCAGAUUUCAUGAGACUUAUUCACUAUCAAGGGAACAGCAUGGGAAAAACCCGCCCCAUGAUUCAAUUACCUCCCACAGGCUCCCUCCCAUGACACAUGGGGAUUAUUAGAAUUCAAGGUGAGAUUUGGGUGGGGACACAAAGCCAAACCAUAUCAGCCAUCUAUCUUCCUCUGUCAGUUUACCAUUAUAUAUUUUAACAAUAUUUAUAUCUGAUAUUAUUGAUUUCUAAGAGCAUUUUAUAUAUUCUGCGUAUUAAUAUUUCAUUGGUAAUAUGAGUUGCAAGUGUCUUUUCUCAGUCUAUGACUUUUAUUUUCAUCUCUGUCCCCUUUUAUACAGAAGUUUUAUGUUUCAGUGUAUCAGAAUGUAUUAAUUUUUCCUUUCGUGCUUUCUCUAAGAAUUAUAUCUUAGGAGUAAGUUCAAGAGAGCUAUUGUACAAUAUGGUUGUAUAGUUAAUAACAUUUUGAAAAUCACUGACUAGAUUGUUUUUACCACAAAAAAUGAUAAGUACAUGAUGUAAUGUAUGUGUUAAUUAGCUCAAAUGAGCCAUUCCACAAUGUAUACGUAUUUCAAAACAAUGUUGUACACAAUAAGUAUAUAAAUAUAUGCAAUUUCUAUUGGUCAAUUAAAAAUAUAUUUUACUAAAGGCAUAAAAAUAUUCUCCCAUUUUUUGGUUGAAAGUUUUAGAGCUUUGCUGAUCACAUUUAGGUCUUUAAGCUAUCUGGAAUGUAUUUUUGUGAAUGAUGUGAUAUAGCAAUCUCAUUUUAUCUUGUACUAUAUAAUGGCCAAGUUCCUCAGCAUCAUUUAUUGAUGAUUUUAUCCCCUUUCUCAUAUAAAAAACUCCCAA
rnacentral:lncRNA from 10 species